rnacentral:rRNA from 1 species
UACGUAGGUGGCAAGCGUUGUCCGGAAUUAUUGGGCGUAAAGCGCGCGCAGGCGGUCCUUUAAGUCUGAUGUGAAAGCCCACGGCUCAACCGUGGAGGGUCAUUGGAAACUGGGGGACUUGAGUGCAGAAGAGGAGAGUGGAAUUCCACGUGUAGCGGUGAAAUGCGUAGAGAUGUGGAGGAACACCAGUGGCGAAGGCGACUCUCUGGUCUGUAACUGCGCUGAGGCGCGAAAGCGUGGGGAGCAAACAGG